rnacentral:rRNA from 1 species
UACGAAGGGGGCUAGCGUUGCUCGGAAUUACUGGGCGUAAAGCGCACGUAGGCGGUCUUUUAAGUCGGGGUGGAAUCCGUGGAGCUCAACUCCAGAACUGCCUUCGAUACUGGAAGACUUGAGUCCGGGAGAGGUGAGUGGAACUGCGAGUGUAGAGGUGAAAUUCGUAGAUAUUCGCAAGAACACCAGUGGCGAAGGCGGCUCACUGGCCCGGUACUGACGCUGAGGUGCGAAAGCGUGGGGAGCAAACAGG